GGAAGAAGAACUUGCAGGUAUGCUACCGACCAGGCUCCUCAACAUCAAUCCGAGACGGAAGAUGAACCGGGAUGAAGCAGUUAGAUUGAGACAAGGCGGCCGGAAACUUUGAUGACCUCAAUGACACUGGCUAGGUGAAGGACAUCAAGAAAAUGGCAUCCGGUCACCAGACAUCAGCUCAUAAGCCACAACGUCAUCAACCAUUUUGCGCCAAAAAUGAAGCCGUUCACAUACCAUGGCAUCCUAAGCAGGCAGCACCACACUACUGUGCAACAGUGAGAGAGAGCGGGCAAGGACAAGUAAAACGGACCUACACUACAGCAAGACUUUGACACUUCUCCACGUGAGAGGCAGCCAUCGCCCCCACCGUGGAGCAGUGUGUACCCAGUACCCCCAAAAGAGGAGAUGAUCCGACGCCAUCACAGCCGAUUUCCAAAAUUGUACACCAAACUCUGUAUGGGCGUGUGUGUGUGUGUG